CGGGGCGUAGCGCAGUCUGGUAGCGCAUCUGCUUUGGGAGCAGAGGGUCGGGGGUUCGAAUCCCUCCGCCCCGA
rnacentral:tRNA from 4 species